CACUAUCGUUAACUGAAUACAUAGGUUAACGAGGCGAACCGGGGGAACUGAAACAUCUAAGUACCCCGAGGAAAAGAAAUCAACCGAGAUUCCCCCAGUAGCGGCGAGCGAACGGGGAGCAGCCCAGAGUCUGAAUCAGCUUGUGUGUUAGUGGAACGGUCUGGAAAGUCCGACGGUACAGGGUGAUAGUCCCGUACACCAAAAUGCACAGGCUGUGAACUCGAAGAGUAGGGCGGGACACGUGGUAUCCUGUCUGAAUAUGGGGGGACCAUCCUCCAAGGCUAAAUACUCCUGACUGACCGAUAGUGAACCAGUACCGUGAGGGAAAGGCGAAAAGAACCCCGGCGAGGGGAGUGAAAAAGAACCUGAAACCGUGUACGUACAAGCAGUGGGAGCACCUUCGGGUGUGACUGCGUACCUUUUGUAUAAUGGGUCAGCGACUUAUAUUCUGUAGCAAGGUUAACCGUAUAGGGGAGCCGCAGGGAAACCGAGUCUUAACUGGGCGUUAAGUUGCAGGGUAUAGACCCGAAACCCGGUGAUCUAGCCAUGGGCAGGUUGAAGGUUGGGUAACACUAACUGGAGGACCGAACCGACUAAUGUUGAAAAAUUAGCGGAUGACUUGUGGCUGGGGGUGAAAGGCCAAUCAAACCGGGAGAUAGCUGGUUCUCCCCGAAAGCUAUUUAGGUAGCGCCUCGUGAACUCAUCUUCGGGGGUAGAGCACUGUUUCGGCUAGGGGGUCAUCCCGACUUACCAACCCGAUGCAAACUACGAAUACCGAAGAAUGUUAUCACGGGAGACACACGGCGGGUGCUAACGUCCGUCGUGAAGAGGGAAACAACCCAGACCGCCAGCUAAGGUCCCAAAGUCAUGGUUAAGUGGGAAACGAUGUGGGAAGGCACAGACAGCCAGGAUGUUGGCUUAGAAGCAGCCAUCAUUUAAAGAAAGCGUAAUAGCUCACUGGUCGAGUCGGCCUGCGCGGAAGAUGUAACGGGGCUAAACCAUGCACCGAAGCUGCGGCAGCGACACUAUGUGUUGUUGGGUAGGGGAGCGUUCUGUAAGCCUGCGAAGGUGUGCUGUGAGGCAUGCUGGAGGUAUCAGAAGUGCGAAUGCUGACAUAAGUAACGAUAAAGCGGGUGAAAAGCCCGCUCGCCGGAAGACCAAGGGUUCCUGUCCAACGUUAAUCGGGGCAGGGUGAGUCGACCCCUAAGGCGAGGCCGAAAGGCGUAGUCGAUGGGAAACAGGUUAAUAUUCCUGUACUUGGUGUUACUGCGAAGGGGGGACGGAGAAGGCUAUGUUAGCCGGGCGACGGUUGUCCCGGUUUAAGCAUGUAGGCUGAUUGUCCAGGCAAAUCCGGAUAAUCAAGGCUGAGGUGUGAUGACGAGGCACUACGGUGCUGAAGUAACAAAUGCCCUGCUUCCAGGAAAAGCCUCUAAGCAUCAGGUAACAUCAAAUCGUACCCCAAACCGACACAGGUGGUCAGGUAGAGAAUACCAAGGCGCUUGAGAGAACUCGGGUGAAGGAACUAGGCAAAAUGGUGCCGUAACUUCGGGAGAAGGCACGCUGGUGUGUAGGUGAAGUCCCUGCGGAUGGAGCUGAGACCAGUCGAAGAUACCAGCUGGCUGCAACUGUUUAUUAAAAACACAGCACUGUGCAAACACGAAAGUGGACGUAUACGGUGUGACGCCUGCCCGGUGCCGGAAGGUUAAUUGAUGGGGUUAUCCGUAAGGAGAAGCUCUUGAUCGAAGCCCCGGUAAACGGCGGCCGUAACUAUAACGGUCCUAAGGUAGCGAAAUUCCUUGUCGGGUAAGUUCCGACCUGCACGAAUGGCGUAAUGAUGGCCAGGCUGUCUCCACCCGAGACUCAGUGAAAUUGAACUCGCUGUGAAGAUGCAGUGUACCCGCGGCAAGACGGAAAGACCCCGUGAACCUUUACUAUAGCUUGACACUGAACAUUGAGCCUUGAUGUGUAGGAUAGGUGGGAGGCUUUGAAGCGUGGACGCCAGUCUGCGUGGAGCCAACCUUGAAAUACCACCCUUUAAUGUUUGAUGUUCUAACGUUGGCCCCUUACCGGGGUUGCGGACAGUGUCUGGUGGGUAGUUUGACUGGGGCGGUCUCCUCCCAAAGCGUAACGGAGGAGCACGAAGGUUAGCUAAUCCUGGUCGGACAUCAGGAGGUUAGUGCAAUGGCAUAAGCUAGCUUGACUGCGAGCGUGACGGCGCGAGCAGGUGCGAAAGCAGGUCAUAGUGAUCCGGUGGUUCUGAAUGGAAGGGCCAUCGCUCAACGGAUAAAAGGUACUCCGGGGAUAACAGGCUGAUACCGCCCAAGAGUUCAUAUCGACGGCGGUGUUUGGCACCUCGAUGUCGGCUCAUCACAUCCUGGGGCUGAAGUAGGUCCCAAGGGUAUGGCUGUUCGCCAUUUAAAGUGGUACGCGAGCUGGGUUUAGAACGUCGUGAGACAGUUCGGUCCCUAUCUGCCGUGGGCGCUGGAGAAUUGAGGGGGGCUGCUCCUAGUACGAGAGGACCGGAGUGGACGCAUCACUGGUGUUCGGGUUGUCAUGCCAAUGGCACUGCCCGGUAGCUAAAUGCGGAAGAGAUAAGUGCUGAAAGCAUCUAAGCACGAAACUUGCCCCGAGAUGAGUUCUCCCUGAGACUUUAAGUCUCCUGAAGGAACGUUGAAGACGACGACGUUGAUAGGCCGGGUGUGUAAGCGCAGCGAUGCGUUGAGCUAACCGGUACUAAUGAACCGUGAGGCUUAACCUU
rnacentral:rRNA from 1 species